GCGUUAAAAAGGACAGGCUCUACGAUUGGUAUAUCAAAUGUCAUAUGGCCAAUCAGAAACAUUUUAACAUAAUAAUUCAUAGAAGGUCGGCUGCAGUGAAAUUAAGAAAACAACGGUUGACAACGAUUUAUUAAUUAAUGAUGAGACGAUGUCCUCAGCCUCAUAGUUAGAGAUGUCCAUGGAUAGACGUCCAUUGACCGCCAGGAGGGGUAAGGAGCGUAAGGAGGGCGAGAGCUUUCUGAGAGGCACCAAGCUCUGGAACUGGAAAUACCGGAUAGUGGCGGGCUGCAUGACAUUCACCGCAUCCGUCUUUGCUAUUGGCAUAUAUUUUGCUGCAACAGAACAGUGGAAGUUCAGUAUUCUUGACGACUUUACAUUUGGGCACUACCCUGAUCCUGAAAGAGUUGCAGAACUUGAAGAGAGAAAGAGAAUUUUAAAGGAAAAACAUAUGAAAGGAAACCAAUGAACACCUGUUUAAAAAUUGUGUUACAGAGAUUUAUGAAAUUCUGUCUUAUAGUACAUGUUAGUAUAUUCACUGCCAGUUUUUGUGACUUCUGAGAUAUAAAAUGUUUACUCAUGAGAGUGUUUUCAUGCCACCUAUUUGAAGAAGGUGGCAUAUAGCUGUCGCACUUUCCAUCUGUCAGUGUCUGGAUGUCCCUCCAAACAUAUCUGUCUCCACCUUACCUUCGCCAUAUAUUGAUGAAUGUGAAAUAAUUUGGCACAAAUGUAAACCAUCAUAAUAUGAUGUGUCACAUGUAACAUCUGUCUCCCUAUCUCAAAGGUGAAGGCCACAUUUACCGGUAGAUGUCAACAGUCAAAUUUGGCAAUAAAAGAGCUUGAAAAUUCCUGUCUAUUCAAUAACUUAGCUAUUUAUGCAUGGAUUUUAAAAUUACUUGGCACACAUGUUAAGCAUUAUAGUAGGACAUGUCGUGUAAACAACCUCCUCCCUACCUCAAAGGUCAAAAUGACAAUCAAAGGUCAAGAAUAAAAUUUAGACAUGAAACUGCUUGAAAAUUGUGGUCUCAGUCUUAACUUGGCUGUAUAUUUAUGGAUUUGAAAUAACUGAGCAUAAAUGCAAACAAACAUACAUGUAGCGUGUAGCACUUGUCUCCCUUCCUCAAAGUUCAUUGUCAUACUCUAAGGUCAAAAGUAAAAUUUUGCCAUAAGACUGCUGUAAAAGUCCUGUCUCAGCCAUAACUUGUCUAUCUAUUGAUGGAUUUUAAAAUAACUCAGCACAAAUCUAAACAAACAUAUGAUGAUGUGUUGCUUGUAACUCUCGUCUUCCUGUUUCAAAGGUCAAGUGCACUGGUAGAUGUCAAAGUUCAAAAUUAUCAGCUUGUACAGUCUUCAACUUUGUAAUUUAUUAUGCAAUGUUAAAAUAACUUACCACAACUGACCACCAUCAGGAGACUGCAAGUAACCUAUUUCAACCUAUUUCCCCACCACAAAGUCACACUUACAGGUGAGAGUAAAUUUUUGCAAUUAAACAACUUGUUUGUUACAUUAGUUUAGUUUUUAAACAAAAAAUGGAUUGGGGGCAUAUGUGCCCUAUGGGCACAUGUCUUAUUAUAUACAAUUAUUAUCAAAAUAUUAUGAAAUUGAAUGAUGCAACUUGGUGAUGUGCAGGAUGCUUGUAAAAAUAUAUUUGGAUGCAUCGUUGUUUGAUAUUUGAAAUUUAGUUCUUAAUAAUUUAUGGUACUGUGUCGACAUUGUAUUGGUAUUGAGAUUACUUAUGUCAGUAAAGAAGCAGAAAAUGCAGUGUAAAUGUGAAUAUGUUUUCAGUAAACAUGUUUGGUCGACGAAUUGUUUUGCAUUUAUAACUAAGUAUUUAUUUCAAGUCCUAUGCAAAUAUUGUGACUAUCUGUUGACAUUGAGAAUGUUUUAGUUUUGUAUUAGGAUCAUGUUAAUGAUUUGUAAAAGUUUUUUAAGUGCUUUUAAUAAAAUAAAAAUUGAAAUAGCAAAGUUUUUUAUGUUGAGUGUUAAUAGCAAACCUGUCUUACUACAUAGUAUUUAGCUACUCCAGAAAUGGUUCACUGGACAAAACACUUCAGGUUGUAAGUAGUCUUCAAGGUGGCAAAUCAAACCUCUGUUUGUAUAUUAUUAUUACUGUAGCAUCAAUUAUUAUAAUAUUACUAUAAACUCAUUAGUGUUUGA